CUUAUCAUCAUUUUUUCUUUUCUUUUUUUCAUUUUGGGCCCUGAAGCAUGGAGACUUUUUCUUCUGACAUUCAUUCACCAUUUCUACACGCAACAUCCCAUUGCUUACUCCGUUCUCCAUUUUGCCUCUCAGUUAUACAUCAUACACAUACACCUCAGUUUUAUUCCGUUUUCCAUUUUUCCUCCCCAGUUAUACAUCACAAGCUUUUUUUGCUAUCUUCAUUAGAAAAUUUGGGGAUGGAAUUCAUAGGUGGAAAAAGGACAGGUAGACCCGAAGGUGAGUUCAACAACAAUGGCGGUUUCAAGAAAUCCAAGCACUAUUUGUUUUUCAUUUUUUUUUUACACUCACUAUUAGUUCUAGGGCUUCUUCUUCUUCUUCUUCUUCUUUUUCGAAUACUUACAGGUUUUAUGUUGAACUUUGAGAAGGGAAAUCAACGUUCUGGGUUAAAAGUCUGGCAUUCCAACAUUUGAAAGCUGGGCUUGAGGAAAAUUGAAUAGAAUUAGCUAAACAAUAUUGUGAACAUUUGGCAAUUAGAAAGAAAAUGGCUCGUUUGGCUUGAUGCUAUGAAAAUCAUUAUGUAUAAUUGGGUUGUUGUUGAUUCAAGAAAAGAUGGUUAUGAGAGGAAUUGUUUGUGUAUAUUAAUUUUGACUUUUUUUUCAUCAAUAUUAUAAUUAUUUUAAAAUUUCAAAAUUUUGAUGUUAUGAUUUCUUCCACCCGAAAUAAAUCUUUAGGAUUACCUUUUUUCCAAGUUUUUGUUUUCUGUUUUAAAUUUGUGAUGUUUGAAUUAAAUCAGAUGUAGACGCGUUCUCCACUUGCCAGAGCUCGAGCUGAUUAUGACUAUAUCUCAUCAAGCUGUUGUUGGUCAGCAACAGUGGUAUGUGUUUUCACGCACUUAACACUUUCACAUUCUGAUUGAAAUGUGUGAACACGCUUUUAUAUUUGAUUUUUGAUUUUUGAUUUUUGAUUUUUGGCUGCGUAUUUAUAGAAAAGCCUAACAUGUCUUAAGAUUUUGUUGAUUUGCCAUGGAAAUCUCUUCAUUUCUUCCGCUAGGUUUUCUUUCCAGUACCCAAUUUCAUUAAUGGAUCUCACAAAGAAACGUGAGGUCGGCGAGAAUGGCGUCACCCGCAUCGCCUAUUCUACACCAAUAGGUUUCAAAUCUCAUUAGUCUUAGUCUCUCAAGCUCUACAGAAAAGAUUAUUGUUGAGCACAUAUGGUGAGUUUCUCUUCAUUUAGUUUAUGGUGUUGCUCUGUUUCUUGAUAGUAUUGGAUUCUCUGUUUUUUGGUUUUAUUUUCUUUUGUCCCAAAAAAAUAUGGGACAUAGUUUUACCUAUCUCUUGAUGUAAUUUUUGUGGGUUUUGAUCCCUUUUUUGUUAGAUUCUCUGGUUCUUCAUUUUAUUGUGUUUCAUAUGCACUAACGUGCUUUGUUUUCAAUUAUUGUGUAACAUGCUUCUUAUUAUACAUUUUUCAAUCAUUCUUUUUACUGUUCUGUAUAUCUGUGCAUAUAUUAUCGUAGAUCUUUUGAUGUUUAUGCAUUUUUUUUUGGGUCUUUCUGGAUCAACCCCAUGAACAGAAGAUCACAUUUUAAUUUGAAGUUUUUGAGUAAUUUCCCACCGUUAUAGUUACAAAUAGCCUUUUCAUUAUUGAUGGAUAUUUAUUGUACCUUUUCCUUGUUAUCCUUCUUUGCAAAUGUACNUUUUGUUGUCUACUUGAUGUUUAUGGGAUUUAUUUGGAGGCAUGAAAUUAAUAAGCAUGGCAAGCUGACCAUACUGAUAGAAUAGAUAGGCAAAGCCAUCAAUAGGUAGUUCGCCUAUUGAUAGCUUAAAUUAGAAGUGAUUAACAAUUGAGAAUCUAACAAACUUCACUAGUCUUGAACCAAGCUAUCCAGUUUAGUCAAUAUCCUAUGUAAGCAGAUAACAAAUUUUGGUUUUACUAGACAGAGAUCGUUGAUUGUAAAAGUUGUGAUUAUUUAUGGUGCUGAUUAUUUUGUACAUUUUGUUUUAAUUCAUUAUAAUUAAUUCUUUUCAAGUGGAACAAACAUUUUUCCUCUUGUUCUACCCAUUGUCAUUUCAUUUAAACAAUAUUUAAACAAGAUUGGUGGCUGUGGUAUGGACGUCAGAAGCAAACAAGGGUAAUCAACCCUUCUUGUCUUGAAUUUUCUUUUUACAAAUGUAAUAAUUAAUGUUCCAUAAUGAGUUUAUAAAUUCUUACACGAUAUCUUUGGUUUUGGUAGGCACUUUCUGGACCCAUUAAUGCCCCUGCAAAGCUUCCGAACUGGAACUAUGGUGGGUCAAGCUCUUAGAGAAGACUUUUAAGUCAUCUUAUAGUAAGCCGUCUUCCAUUUAAGAUAUUUUAUAAUGAAAUAUAUGCAUGCGCAUUAAUGCAUUGCAUGACGAUGAGACAAUCCUCAAACAAUUUACAAUGAUCCAUUCAGGAGGGUAAAUAACAUAUUGGUGAGUUAUUUUUCCCCUUAUUACUAAUAAAUAUUUUGUGUUUAAUUAUGUUGUUAUGUGGAUUAUAUGAUAUCGCCUUUUCUUUUUGCCUCAUAGAUCAUCUGUGAUGCUUACACCCUAGCUAGUGAGCCAAUUCCAACUAACAGAAGGAACAGUCUAACCAAAAUAUUUAGCAAUCCUAAUGUUGUUGCCGAAAAACCUUGGUUUCAUCAUUAUGUGCCAUUUGCGACUCCUCAUUUAGUUUACAUUUUACAAUCCCGAAUUUUUUAGAGCUAUAUCUAUAAUAGGUAUGGUGUUGAGCAAGAAUACACCUUGUUGCAAAAGGAUGUUGGACCUCAAGUAAUUGUUCUGCUUUCGAUGAUUGCUCAUUAUUCUCUGUUCAUUAAGAUUGUGAUUACUGAAUGGUUUAUUUCUUCUUCACCUCAUAGAUAGUCAUCGCCGUCCGAUCAUCAAUCAGUUCUCUUUCUUUUGGAACCCCAAGGCGGCAGCUCAGAUCGAUGGGAGACUAAAAUGAUGCCUUACUACAUAAUCCAAACUCCGCUGUCCAUGCCCAUACAAGGCUCUUUUUAUGAUCCUAGCAUCCUACCUUUUUAUGUUUGUCUAUUCGUCAUCUUAAUCUUUUCAGUUGUUAACAGUGGCGGAUCCAGGGGGCGGCCGCCCUAACUGGAUCCACC
rnacentral:lncRNA from 1 species